GGGGCCGCCCUUUGACCUCGCGCACGUGCAUUCAGAGAGAAGGAGAGAUCGACUCUCGUCGAAUUACAGAAGCAGCGGCGUCGCGGAGGAAGGCAGCGGCCGCUCACCGGUCUUUCAGUUGCAGCGGCGGCGGGUUUUCGACGGCAGGAGAAGAGCUAGGGCUCGAUUUUGGAAGGGGGUGGAAUUUGGGCUCGAUUUAUGAUCUGCGACUGAAUUGAGGAGAGAGAUGACAACGCCGGGAUUAAACGCGUCAAUAACCGACGCCGGUGGUAGCAGGCGACGGCUGGAUGGCCGGAGAAGGAGGAGCCGAGCGAUCCUCGGUGGGAGAAGAAGAAGCCGAGCGGGCGGCUCUUUGAGGAAUGAGGAGAAGAGACCGAGAGUUUAGAAGAGAGAUUGGGCUGUUUUUGUUAUUUAAUUUGGGCUCCUCUUUAUUUCAAUUUGGGCCCUAUUAUUUUAUUGUGUAAUUGGGCUCACCCUUUUAAUUAAGUUGUUUCAGCCCACUCUCAUUAUUCUGUUGGGCUUUAAUUAUUCAGAUAAUUGGGCUGGCUUAUUUAUUAAUAUUGGGCCUCUGAUUUUAUUUAAAUGGCCGAUUUUAAUUACUGAUUGGGCCUCCGAUUUUAAUUAUAUGGGCUUUGAUUUAAUUAUUGUUUUGAUUUGUAUGGACUUCAUUUAAUUGAGUUGGACUUUAUUUAUUUUAAUAAUUGGGCCAUUACAUUGGGCCAUUUCAUUGGGCCGGAGUUUAUUUAAUUAUGUUGGACUCCUUAUUUGGGCUUCGUUUCAGUGGGCCGAUUUUAUUUUAAAUUACAGUGGGCUUGAGUUGGGCCGAAAAUUUGGGCCUUUAUUUUAUUUUCUUUGGGCUUCAUAAUUAUUUAUUUUUGGGCCUUGUUGUAUUUAUUAUAAUUGGGCCUAAUUCAAUUAUUUUGCUUGGGCUUUAGUUUAAUUCAUUCUAUUUAUUUCCUUCAUUGGCUUUGUUAUUAUUCCAUUGGGCCUCUUAUUUAUUUUCUUUAGGCCUUGGAUUUAUUCAAUGGGCCUAAAUUUUUUUUAAACUUGAUCAUGAAUUACUCUAAGUAAAGUUUUACUUAGUUAUGUAUUUUCACUAUUUAUUUAAUUCACUCCACUUUUUUAUUUAAUUAUUAGUUUUAUGUUAGCCUUUUGAUAUUUGACUAUAUUAUUCUCAAGCGUCUUUGUUGGCCCGGUAUUAACGUAGCUUAAUUAAUUCCUUUUCGGAUUCAAGCGUCUGAGGACUUAGUUAUUUUCUAAUCGUACAUAGAGCAUAUCUUUUUAUCGCUUUACGUUCGCAUUCAAGAGUCGGGUUAAUUUUAUAUUAUGCGUUCCUGAAUCAGCUUAGCUUUUGUUUCAUUCCAUACUUGGAUUAACAGUAGACAUUUUAAUUAUUGUUCAGGUAAUUCACAAUAGAUCAUGCAUCAUUAAUUCUGUAUCUCAUUUUUGAGGAUUUUGCUAUCAAUAUCUUAUUUUAUAUAAUUAAUCAGCUAUGUACAAACCCUAGGUUCAGAUUAAAAGAACUAGCCAAACAUAAUAAAGAAAGCAAAAACAUAAUAAUGAGAACGCAAUUGAAAGAACUAGAAUUAAAUAAAACUCUGAAUAAAAUAAUUGUAGCGGCUUGAAUCUUCAAUCUUGUGGAAAUCCAAUCCAAGCUGUAAAAACUGGAAAGCAAUAAUAAUCUAAAGCUAUGAAACUAAGAAAAUAAAGUUUAGGAAACUGAAAAACUAAAGCUGGGAACCCUAAAUAGGUCAANGCUGUAGUGACCCGCUCUUUAUAUAUUUUUAAAUCCAGUAAUGAGUGUGUAUUUUUGUUUCAUCAGUGAAUGAAAACGGAUAUUAUUCUGAUAUGAAUUCAGCUUAUGAUCCUGAAUUUAUAUUGUUAAAGCAGUUAAUGAUUAUAUUUCAGAGUUAUAACUGACUUAGCAAAGUCACGUUAUUUAUUUAAGCGAGAUGGAAUUAGAUUUAUUUUUUACUUCAAGUUUGUGGAUUAUUUCCGUACUCGUUGAAUUAAUUAAAUCUGCGGAUUUAAUUUAUAUAUUAGAACAACGAACGAAUUAAAUCUACGGAUUUAAUUUUGAUUCAUUUUUUAACUAUUGAUUUAGCGAGAUAUCACAUGUCGAAAUCGAGAUUUAUGUAAAUACAGUAUCAAGCAGAAUCGAAGCCAGUAUUUUAUUUCAGUUACGGAAUCACCGAGACAUAGAAAAUACUUCAUUAAUUCUUCUCUAUUAUUUUUCUUUUAUUUCCAUCAAUCUUUGACCACUCAUUUUUCACCCCAACCAUUCACUCUUUCCCAAUCACUUUCCCCCAUCACUCAUCAUUUUCCUACCACUCAUCACUCAAGUGCACUCCAUCGCCCCUUUGCCUUCCUAGCCUACAAGUUCAGCCAAAACACUCCCUUAAUCACCAGCAAACCAAGGGAAGUAAUUAGUCUAAGCUGCUGCCAGAAACUCCAAGGUGAGAUUUGGCUUUCAUUCAUCCACCUUCCUCCAUUAUUCACCUGCAAUUACAAAAGCAGCAACGCAAAUUUGUUCCAGCCAUUCCAGUGCAGAUAAUACCCAAAGAUCCAAGAGUAAGAAAGAACAUUGAUUCACUGCCAUAAGCUCUAAGGUAAACCUUGGCAUUUAUCCCUCAUCUUCUUCCAUUUGCAACCUGCAUUUAUUGAAAGAAACAAGUAUGAUUUAUAUCAUUUAUUUCAGAAUCCUCCCAUUUAAUCCACCCACAGCAGCCAACCAACACCUAUACCUCAAGGUAUUUUAUGCUAUCUCAGUUCACUAUCUUCAUAUACAUUUCACCCCACGCAUCAUGUAUUAGAAGUUCAGAAAUAUAGGUUGAAGUAUAUUACAGAGGGGCAGCAAAUCACAUAUGCGUACAUAAUUUAUGGCCUUCAACAGAAAUAGUAUGAUUCAUACAUUGAGAUAUUACCACUGUACAUAGAACCAAAGCCAUGAGAACUCCCAUCAUGUAGUGACAUGAAUCGAAAUACAAUAACAGGGGAUAGAACAAAAACUUAGCUUUAGAAGAGGAAAGGGGCCACUGCCCUGCUCUGCUCUGAAACCAAGAAGGACGGUGCGACGGAGCUCGGAGGACGACGGAGGCGACGGGCCUUCACCUGCCGCCGGGAGGAAUGCAGCAGCAACGGCGAGAUUGAGAGUGCGCUGAGAGGACCAGGGCUCGACCUCUGCCUCGGGUGUGUGUGUGCGUGUUCCGGAGCUUCCAGAAGGGAGAAGAGAUGAGAAAUGGCGCCGGGCUCAGGCUCUACACCGGCGUCGCCGAUUUGGGAGGAAGAACGAUGACUAGCAGUCGCCGGAUUUACAGAGUCCACGGCGAAGGCGAUUCGAGACUUAGAGAAUUUUGGGGGCCGCCCUUUGACCUCGCGCACGUGCAUUCAGAGAGAAGGAGAGAUCGACUCUCGUCGGAUUACAGAAGCAGCGGCGUCGCGGAGGAAGGCAGCGGCCGCUCACCGGUCUUUCAGUUGCAGCGGCGGCGGGUUUUCGACGGCAGGAGAAGAGCUAGGGCUCGAUUUUGGAAGGGGGUGGAAUUUGGGCUCGAUUUAUGAUCUGCGACUGAAUUGAG
rnacentral:lncRNA from 1 species